UGCGUAGGUGGCGGGGUAAGUCAGGUGUGAAAUCUCGGAGCUCAACUCCGAAACUGCACUUGAUACUGCCUUGCUCGAGUACUGGAGAGGAGAUUGGAAUUUACGGUGUAGCAGUGAAAUGCGUAGAUAUCGUAAGGAAGACCAGUGGCGAAGGCGAAUCUCUGGACAGUUACUGACACUGAGGCACGAAGGCCAGGGAGCAAACA
rnacentral:rRNA from 1 species